GACGAACGCUGGCGGCGUGCUUAACACAUGCAAGUCGAGCGAAGUGUUCAAGACAGAUUUCUUCGGAUUGAAGUCUUGAACAUCUUAGCGGCGAACGGGUGAGUAACGCGUGAGAAACCUGCCUUUCACAAAGGGAUAGCCUCGGGAAACUGGGAUUAAUACCUUAUGAUACUUCAAAUUCGCAUGAAAUUGAAGUUAAAGCGUAAAGCGGUGAAAGAUGGUCUCGCGUCCCAUUAGUUAGUUGGUGAGGUAACGGCUCACCAAGACCGCGAUGGGUAGCCGGCCUGAGAGGGUGAACGGCCACACUGGAACUGAGACACGGUCCAGACUCCUACGGGAGGCAGCAGUGGGGAAUAUUGCACAAUGGAGGAAACUCUGAUGCAGCGACGCCGCGUGAGUGAAGAAGGCCUUCGGGUCGUAAAACGUUUAGUCCUUAGGGGACGGAGUAAUGACGGUACCCUACGGAGGAAGCCCCGGCUAACUAACGUG
rnacentral:rRNA from 1 species